CCCUAGUAACUGCGAGUGAAGCGGGAAAAGCUCAAAUUUAAAAUCUGGCGGUCUUCUGGCCGUCCGAGUUGUAGUCUGGAGAAGCGUUUUCCGCGUUGGACCGUGUACAAGUUUCCUGGAACGGAGCGUCAUAGAGGGUGAGAAUCCCGUCUUUGACACGGAUCCCAAUGCUUUGUGAUGCGCUCUCAAAGAGUCGAGUUGUUUGGGAAUGCAGCUCAAAAUGGGUGGUGAAUUCCAUCUAAAGCUAAAUAUUGGCGAGAGACCGAUAGCGAACAAGUACCGUGAGGGAAAGAUGAAAAGCACUUUGGAAAGAGAGUUAAACAGUACGUGAAAUUGUUGAAAGGGAAACGCUUGAAGUCAGUCGCGUCGGCCGGGACUCAGCCUUGCAUCCGCUUGGUGUACUUUCCGGUCGACGGGCCAGCAUCAGUUUUGACCGCGAGAUAAAGGCGGAGGGAAUGUGGCUCUCUCGGGAGUGUUAUAGCCCUUCGUCAGAUGUCGCGGUUGGGACUGAGGAACUCAGCACGCCUUUAUGGCCGGGGCUCGCCCACGUACGUGCUUAGGAUGCUGGCGUAAUGGCUUUAAACGACCCGUCUUGAAACACGGACCA
rnacentral:rRNA from 1 species